rnacentral:rRNA from 1 species
GGGCGAGCCAAGUCGUGAGGCGGAGCUAAUCCCUUAAAGCCAUUCUCAGUUCGGAUUGUAGGCUGAAACUCGCCUACAUGAAGCUGGAGUUACUAGUAAUCGCAGAUCAGAAUGCUGCGGUGAAUGCGUUCCCGGGUCUUGUACACACCGCCCGUCACACCACGGAAGUUGGGGGCGCCCGAAGCCACUUAGCUAACCCUUUUGGGAAGCGAGUGUCGAAGGUGAAAUCAAUAACUGGGGUGAAGUCGUAACAAGGUAUC